GUGAGGAAUAUUGGUCAAUGGGCGAGAGCCUGAACCAGCCAAGUAGCGUGCAGGAUGACGGCCCUAUGGGUUGUAAACUGCUUUUACACGGGGAUAAAGUGUGCGACGUGUCGUUCAUUGCAGGUACCGUGCGAAUAAGGACCGGCUAAUUCCGUGCCAGCAGCCGCGGUAAUACGGAAGGUCCGGGCGUUAUCCGGAUUUAUUGGGUUUAAAGGGAGCGUAGGCCGUCUGUUAAGCGUGUUGUGAAAUGUAGAUGCUCAACAUCUGAAUUGCAGCGCGAAGUGACCGACUUGAGUGCGCAGGAAGUAGGCGGAAUUCGUGGUGUAGCGGUGAAAUGCAUUGAUAUCAGGAGGAACACCGGCGGCGAAAGCGGCAUCCUGGCUUAUAUCUGACGCUGAGGCGCGAAAGCGUGGGUAGCAAACGGGAUUAGAAACCCGGGUAGUCC
rnacentral:rRNA from 1 species